rnacentral:rRNA from 1 species
GACGUAGGGAGCGAGCGUUGUCCGGAUUCAUUGGGCGUAAAGAGCGCGCAGGCGGUUUGGUAAGUCGGAUGUGAAAACCCGGGGCUCAACCCCGGGCGUGCAUCUCGAUACUGCCCGACUAGAGGUAGGUAGGGGAGAUCGGAAUUCCUGGUGUAGCGGUGAAAUGCGCAGAUAUCAGGAGGAACACCGGUGGCGAAGGCGGAUCUCUGGGCCUUACCUGACGCUCAGGCGCGAAAGCUAGGGGAGCAAACGGG